ensembl:lncRNA
GUUGCUCAGCUGUGCUCGUGAACUUCGUUUCCAUGACAACCAAGUCACUCAAACUCAGCUGCAUCUCAUCCAUCGGCAAAAACCUCUCAUUACAUUUUCAAAUUACAUCUUGCCUUCAUCAAACAGCUAUAAAAGGAGGCCUUGGUGCUUUUGUGCCUGGAGGUUUCUGUGAAGUUCGCAGCAUGUGAUGUUUCUGUUUGACCCUGACCUCUCAUUAUAUAAGCUGCACCACUGGAGUCUCUCAAUGAGUGUUGUUUUCCCGAAUAUCAGAGUGAUCGCAAAUUAAUUGAUUUUACACAACAGUUCAUCAAACAAGAUGUUAGUAUUAAGUGAUUUACAUUUUAGUAACAAUGUUG